AUGUUUGAGUCUGAUUGUAGUUUCUGAUGUGCUCUGUGUUACAGUGAUUCAGGGUCAGUAUGGCUGGAGAGUGACUUACACCUCUACUCAGAUCUGUGCCUUAAAGGAUCAACAGUGGAAAUAAGCUGCACCCUCACAUACCCAUCCAGAAUAAAUGGCCGUGAUACUAUAGUUGAGGAAACAUUCUGGUUUACUCAGAUGAAUGGAGAUGUACAUGUGGAUCUGAAAACAGACUCAAGAUACGCAGGUCGUUUGCAGUACAGUUGUUCUAACAAAAUCUGCACUCUGAGAAUCACAGACCUGAGAGAGAGCGACUCAGCUGAGUACAAGUUCAGGUUCAUAACAAACCAACCAGAUGGAAGAUUUACUGGUUCACCUGGAGUCACUUUGUCUGUCAGAGGUCUCCAGGUGCAGGUCAGAAGAUCUAGUGUUUCUAACUGGGCAACCCUAAUGUGUUACAGCAGCUGUCAUCUACCUGAUCAUUCUUCCUACGUCUGGUACAAGAAUGGACAGAAAAUUCAGAGAGAAACAUCUUCUUCUUAUUCAGGCAACUUCUAUUAUCCAGACAGUUAUUCCUGUGCUGUGAAAGGAUUGGAGUUUUUCCCCUCUCCUUCAGUGUGUGUCUAUGGUCAUUCAUGCAACAGAGUGACUUACACUGACAGAAGCAUCUGUGCCUUCAAAGGCUCAUCAGUGGACAUUUCUUGUACUUACAACAGUUAUGACACAUAUCAGAUCUAAAUUCUGGUUCAGUCCUGAACGUAGUCUUCAGUGGCAGAAUCCCUCACAGCCUGAGGACCUUAGUGAAGACUCCCAGUAUGCAGGUCGUGUUCAGGUCAUUGAAACAGAGAGAGGACGCUCCACUCUGAGAAUCACUGACCUGAGAGAGAGCGACUCAGCUGAGUAUCACUUCAAAUUCAACACAUGGAGCUUUGAAUGGAGGAGUAGUUUACCUGGUACAACUCUGACUGUCACAGAUCUCCAGGUUCAGGUGAUCAGAUCAACAGUCUACAAGAAUUAUACUGAGGCAGAGCUGCUUUGUCACAGCAGCUGUCGUCUACCUGAUCGUCCUUCCUACGUCUGGUUCAAGAACGGACAGAAAAUGGAAAGCGUGGAGACAUCUUCUUAUAAAGAUCAGUUUUAUCCCGGAGACAUCAUCUCCUGUGCUGUAAAAGGACAAGAGGAUUUCCGCUCUCCUUCAGUGUGUGAGUUUACUCCACACUGACAUUACAAUACAAAUUACAAUUUCAGACAUAACCAUAUUGGAGUCCUCUAGAUCUUGAUGUGGACACAGAAGCAUUAUUUAUAGAAAGAAAAAUCUACUACCGGUAAAAAAAUAUAUUCAGAUUGUUACGACCCCCUGUUGGUCUAGGGGAGUGGGGGCCAUAAACAUAUUGGCACAACUGGUAUAGAUCUUAACAAGGUAACUUUUAUUGGUAACAGAGAGAUGUAGACAGGUAACAAUAAACAAAAGGAGGGUGAACAAACCAAGUUAAAAUAAAAAAGGUCCUCAAAAGGAGGCCUGUACCUAUCUAUCGAUUUAAGCAGAGUUGAUUCUUGCUACAAAAGAACACAAAGAGCACAGCACCCACUCCACCUGGUGAAAACUAACACAAUAGUAAACAAAACACAAAGUGAAUUUCUCUACUGCACCCAAUGUGGAGCUAACAAACAAAGGUGUGCAAACAGUUUCACUAAACACAAUGUACAGCUAAUAAGCAAGGAAGGUGGAUAGUUCCACUAAACACAAAGUACAACUAACAGGCAGGCUAUGCAGUCAAUACCAGCGGCACACAAGUCAAUAGGCGGUGACAAGCUGCCUGGAGCAACAGGUGGACUCUCCUUAUGAGCAGGAGGUAAUUAAUGUGGUGGCGAGCCAUUGGUUGAGUGGAAACAGAGGGAACCAAUGGGCGGGACUGAUGUCAGCACCCCAGAAACCAGGAAGUAGGCGGGUCUUCAUUCCCCAGGGACACAGCCUACUUGGUAGAGGUGAGACAGGAAAAGGGGAAACACAAGGGUGACAGCGACAGCCGUGACACAGAUGCAUGUUGUGAUAU